CCAUAUUAAUUUUUUCAUUUUUGAGUUAUUUAUUUAUUUUUUGUAUUUAUGGUGUUAGAUUUAUGAAUACCUAUACAAAUGGGUUCUUAAAAGUAGUUGCUUUAUUUGCAGAUUACUAUGAAUCUGCUAUAAACUCUUCUUUCAUCAUCUUCGAUAAAAAAAUUUGUAAUCAUAUAAUCUUUUGUAGAAUUGUUCACUUGAUCGAUAUUUGGUGAAUCUGGCUUUUGAGAUUUUGAAUUCUUAAUUUUUGAGAUUUUGAAAUACUCCGAUUGAUUUUGGAUUUUUGUGAUUUUGAAAUAUGCUUUGGUCUCUUUUUUUACAUAUUUUUAAUAUAUAGUUCUAGAUUUUUUGAAAAAAUAUACUUUGGUAAUCUUUUUUUACAGAUUUAUGUGUUUUUCAAUGUCCAUUUGCACAGUUUUUUUUUUCCUGUUUUUCUGCAUUUGCAUGUUAGAUCUCAAGGAUUUCAAUUGAUUCUUGGUAUUUUCUUUUUUCUCAAUGAUACUUGAAAUUUUGAAAUUAAUUUUCAGCAAAUAACCAAGCUAAGUGUAUUAUUGUUCCUCAUACUUUUCCUUGACUGCUAAUCACAAGGCCGUAGCUGAAAAUCCAGCUUCAUUUCUCUUGCCAGUUAGAGUCGAACUGAAGCCAAAAAGUGGAAUCAGAUUUGAUAGGCAAUACUUCCAUGCUUCAGAUCCAAGUCUUCAUCUGCGGAAUUCAGAAAUACUAUUAGUAUCACAGUUUGACAUUAUGUAUAAAGUAGAAAACAUGUAAUAAUUGUUUAGUAUUUGAGUUGUAA